GACAGAGGAGCCAAGCGUUGUCCGGAUUGACUGGGCGUAAAGCGCACGCAGGUGGUCGCGUAAGUGCCGUGUGAAAGCAGCUCGCUUAACGAGCUGAGGCCAUGGCAGACUGCGCAACUUGAGCCCGUGAGAGGUCUGUGGAAUUGCCGGUGUAGUGGUGAAAUGCGUAGAGAUCGGCAGGAACACCCAUGGGGAAGCCAGCGGACUGGCACGAGGCUGACACUGAGGUGCGACAGCGUGGGGAGCGAACUGGAUUAGAUACCCAGGUAGUCCACGCCGUAAACGAUGGAUACUCGCUGUGUGGCGGUGUUAGAGCCGCUGCGCAGCCAAGCCAACGCGAUAAGUAUCCCGCCUGGGAACUACGAGCGCAAGCUUAAA
rnacentral:rRNA from 1 species